rnacentral:rRNA from 1 species
GAUGAACGCUGGCGGCGUGCCUAAUACAUGCAAGUCGAGCGAACAGACGAGGAGCUUGCUCCUCUGACGUUAGCGGCGGACGGGUGAGUAACACGUGGAUAACCUACCUAUAAGACUGGGAUAACUUCGGGAAACCGGAGCUAAUACCGGAUAAUAUAUUGAACCGCAUGGUUCAAUAGUGAGAGACGGUUUUGCUGUCACUUAUAGAUGGAUCCGCGCCGCAUUAGCUAGUUGGUAAGGUAACGGCUUACCAAGGCAACGAUGCGUAGCCGACCUGAGAGGGUGAUCGGCCACACUGGAACUGAAACACGGUCCAGACUCCUACGGGAGGCAGCAGUAGGGAAUCUUCCGCAAUGGGCGAAAGCCUGACGGAGCAACGCCGCGUGAGUGAUGAAGGUCUUCGGAUCGUAAAACUCUGUUAUUAGGGAAGAACAAAUGUGUAAGUAACUAUGCACGUCUUGACGGUACCUAAUCAGAAAGCCACGGCUAACUACGUG